GAAGGAAAUUUAUUAAACGAUCAAGUCACUGCUUUGACAUAUGAUUCAAGGAAGUGUUUAAGAAGUUGUAAACUUUUAAUGGAUGUUACGCCUCAAAAUAAACAUUACGUGGCAUUGAAACAGCUCGUAUAUGUAUAUCUAUCUAUGUUGUUUCAUAUCGAUGAAACAAUCAAAAACUGGAGCUUUAAGUCAAAAUCUGUCUUAACCCAUGCAGCACGCUGCCAAUAUCCUCGUGGCAUCGUCCGGCGGUGCACAAUCCGGAAACACUGGU
rnacentral:misc_RNA from 1 species